GGCCCACCCGCGAGCAGCGGGGAAGGCGGGGACCCGGGCCCCGCGGGCCUGCAGCGCCCCCGCACCCGGUUCCACGCGCCCAGGGCCGCCCCCGCGGAGAGAGGGGGCGCGAGGGGCGCGCCUCUCGCUCGGACACCCUCUCCCAGCUCGCGCCCCAGGUAACUUAAACCCAAUUAUAAAUGGCUUUGGCUAUAAAGUGUUCUUGAAUGAAAACGUUUAGGAAGUAGGCCUGGAUUCAGAUGCUUCAGAGGCUCAAAGGAAACAGGAAUCGUGGCUAACCAAAUCCAGCCCAACUGCUUCCUUGUUCACAUGGGGAAAUCGAGGAAGGCCCGGGGAGAGGAAGGCCUGGGGAGAGGAAGUUACUUGCCCAAGUUGCCCAGUUAAUUAGCCACAGAACCCAUGUCCCCCAACUCUGAAACAAGUUCCAGUUAAAGUCUUCACUGAUAACUUUAAAUCCUCCACUAACCAAGGGAGUCAUCUUUGCAUUUGCACAGAGGAGAUGGGAAAAUCACAAAGCCCUUAAGGUCCAGAAGAAAUGAGUGUCACUACGUUGGGCUCCCAGGCUGUGCAACAAGCUGUGGACGGAGAUGUCCGGGCAGGGAGCCCGGUCCAGCUCCCCACCCAUCGCAUCAUGGAGUCAGCCGUCUCCUCUGGGGACUGCACCCUCUGGGUGCUGAGAAAUCCAAAUGGCUCUUUCUCAUGCAGCCGCCCCAAGUGGGCAGGAUGGCCCUUCUCUUGAUUUGUUUCCUGCUUACUUUGUGAGAGUCAAAGUGCAUCCUUCAGGACCAAAGUGGCCAAGGGGCCAGCAUGUUAUUUAGAGUGAUCAAAAUGGACCAUUUUCAACUUGGCCCUAUUUCAGCUCCAGAGCUGUGGUUUCCACUUGCUUUUACUUAUCUGUAUUUUCUAACAUUUCUUUAGCAAAUUUGUAUUACUUUGGCAAUUAGAAAAAAUGACCAGUAAUUUUUAUAAAAGGAUUUGUGUUUGAUUUCCUUUCAGAAAGGCACUUUCAUUUAUUAAAAGAUCACAAUGAGAAGUGAAAUUAAGUUGAUCUUUCUCUCUGGCAAGGAUGUGUGGGGAGGAAUGGGGAGGUGAAUGCUGGGAGCAGAAGCCACAGCUGCAGAGCACUGCAGUGAGUGAAGGCUAGAUCAGGAGACUGGACCAGGAGGCUGGACCAAUUGGCUCUGUGGUCCUAGGCAAGUCACUCAGUGUCUCUGGGUUUCUAUUGCUAGAUGUUUGGUUUCAUUAUUUCUGGAGUUCUUUCCAGGAAUUCUCUGUAUGGAUACAGUCUUUGAGCUUUAGUGAACGUUCAUAUACGCUGUAGGAGAACAUGUAAUGGCUCAGAAAUGUGUUCAGCAUAAAUUCUGUUUGUCUUUGCGGUCCUGUGAGACUGCUGAAAGUUCUGCUCAGCUUCUCUGCUUCUUAGCAUUUGGUUUCUUCUCAGCUUCUCAGUCUCUCCGUUUAGCUCUUUAUGAAUUGGCAAAUUCAUGGAAAAGAGCACAUAGAAUGUCAGGCCCCUGCUCCAUUCAUUUCUCUUCACCCUGAGAUCUUGAUCCCUCAAGUUCUGGCUUCCUGGAUAGCUCUUUCGUGCCUUCUAACAGAUUUUUAUUUUCUUUGAACAAUUCUACCCAGGUUUUCUAAUUGUUUAUGGAGAAGAUUGAUCUUCACAAGCUAGUUUUUUCAUAGGCAAAAGCAAAAGUCUCUUCCUGUGUUAUUAAGUGAAAAUGGCUGAUUAUAAAAAGGCCCUGGGUCAGGAGGUUGCCGAUUCCAGGAAGAAUCAGACCUUAUCCCUGCCCUUGAGUCUCAAGAAGAGGAAAGGAAAACAAAUAAGCAUAGUACAGUGUGAAAAGUGGGACUGUGGUCAAAUUUCAGUCUGCAAACUCAGAAUGGAUGAAAUAUGAAAGACUGACAACAUCAAGUUGUCAAGUAGGACAGGAUGUGGAACCACUGGAACUCAUACGUGACUGAUGGGAAUGCAAAAUGAUACCGAUCCCUUGGAAAACUCCUUGGCAACUUUAAUAAACAUAAAUCUACCCUAUGAUCCAGAAAUUCCACUCUGAGUCACGUCUCCAAGAGCAAUGAAAAUAUAUACCCACAAAAGACUGCACAUAAAUCAGAACAGCAUUGUUGAUAAUAGCCCAAACUGGAAACAACCUAAAUAUUCACCAAUAGAAGCCUGAAUAAAUUCAUACUGUGGGAUACUCUACAGCAAUGAGAUCAUGAAAGAUAGUGUGGCUUCCACUUUGGUCUCUUAUAUCACCUACUGGGGGAAGCCAGCUGCCAUGUUGUGAGGACACUCAAGAAGCUCUGUGGAGAGGCUCUUUUGAAGGAGAACCAAUGCCUCCCACCAACAGCCAGCAUCAACUUGGGACAUGUGAGUGAACCAAUUGGAAGUGGAUCCUCCAGCCAAGUCAAGCCUUCAGAUGACUGAAGCCCCAGCCUCAUGAGAGAUAGCAGGCUAAAACUGCCCAGCUAAGCUGCUCCUGAAAUCCUGACCCCCCAAAUUAUAAAAGACAAUAAAUUAUUAUUGUUGUUUUAAGCCACUACAUGUUGGGGUGAUUCAUUAUGCAGCAACAGAUAAUAAAUACAUCACCCUUGUAUUCAUUACUGACGUUUAUUGGGAGCAUAGUGUGUGAUUUUUCAUUUAACCCUUCCAGUAAUGCUGUGAGAUAGGUAAGUUUAUUAUCCCCAUUUUACAGACAAAGAAACUGAGGUUCAGAAUGAGUGAAGUCUCUUCCCUGCAGAGUCCCUGACCUUAAGGAUUUUAUGGUCAGAUCUGAGAGACAGAAGCUCAAAAACCUAUGACUCUAGGCAAAAUAUGGCCCUGGGAUCCCAGGAUGGGGAGAGGAAUUUUGGAUUCUGGCUUCUACUUGGGCCUCAUAGCUUGGGAUGACAGAGGGUACACUCCAAAGGCAACAAACACCUUCCCUGCCCUUGAGCACCUGCUUAAUCAAGGGGAGAAAGUUCAGAUGCUUAUGCAUAAUGUGUGGUAUUUCUCUGCACAGAAACACACACGGGCCUGUACAGUAAUAAUGAAAAGCAACAACCCAUCUUAAGGGCUUGGCACUUUGCACUUACAAAGCCUUAUACAUCCCUAAUUCCAUGGAAUCACACCUGGCAGGUAAGCGUGGCCCUGUACACUUUACAGAUGGGGACACUGAGGUCAGGGAAGUUGUGUGAUUCUUGCAGAGCCAAGCAGCCUAGAAGUGGCAGAGUUCAGGUAAAACCCAGUAACUGGGUGUUUUACAAGUGCUAAGGGUAUGACAGGAGGUAGGCAGGGCUCCUCUGAGGGAGGUUUCAGGAAGAGGUCACCCGCGAGCAGGGUUCUGAGAAUGGGGAAGUGGCUUCGGGGAGAGGAUGGUGCCUGGGAGGGUUUGAGAGGAAACAGAGUGAGUCCCUAGGGGCUCCCAGGGUGUACGAGGGCAAAGAGGUGAACAUAGCUGGAGUGGAAAGAAUGAGAAAGCCUGGGUGUGUGGAAGAGCCUUGGUGUGUUAGGUGGAAUUGCAGCUGGAGGGUGUGUGCAGAAUGAGAGGUCUUGGUAUUGGGGCCAAAGUCAACUGCCACGCCUAAGGAGGGAGGAAGGCGCUUAUUUUGCUUCUUGGGUGAAAAUCAUUCCUGUGAUUUAGUUCUCCUUGGGGGAGGGGCGGGGUUUCAUCCAGCCUUAGCAAAUGCAUUCAAUCUUCACUACUUCUCUCUGUCAGAUGGGGUGGAUAGAGGUCCAAAUGUGGGCAGAAGCUUUUAUGUCCCAUCGCAGGGCAGCUAAGAACAGCUGCGCGGGUCGUUCACUGUACAUGGGCACUAGGCCAAAAGGGACUGAAAUCCGGACGGCCCUUUGUUUACUAAGCCAUGUGCCUGCAAGGCUGCACCUGCCCAGAAGGAAUGCUUCCUAUUUCUUUUCUUUAAAAAAAAAUUUUUUUUAUGAGCUAAAAUUCACAUAACAUAGAAUCUACCAUUUAAACCACUUUAAAGUAUAAAGUUCAGUGCUUUUAGUAUAGUCACAAUGUUGUGCAACCAUCACCACUAGCAGUUUUCGGAACAUUUCCAUCAUCCCAAAAAACAACUCCAUAACUCCUAAUUCCCCCCCUUUCCCCAUCUCUUGGCGACCAUGAAUCUGAACUUUCAUAUGAAUGGAGUUCUAUAAUUUGCUGUCUUCUGUGACUGUCUUCUUUCAUUUGGCAUUAAAACUUUUCAAGUUUUACCCAUGUUGUGGUAUGUGUCUGUACUUCAUUCCUUUUUAUGGCUCGAUAAUAUCGCAUUGUGUGAAUAUUCCACAAUUUGUGUAUCCCUUCAUGAGUUGAUGGACAUAUGGGUUAUAUCCACUGGCUGUUAAGAACAGGCGGGUCACGGUGGCUCACGCCUGAAAUCCCAGCACUUUGGGAGGCUGAGGUGGGCGGAUCACCUGAGGUCAGGAGUUCUAGAUCAGCUUUGCCAACACGGUGAAACCUUGUCUCUACCAAAUAUAUAAAAAUU
rnacentral:lncRNA from 10 species